UAUUGUUUAUCUUUUACUUUUAGACAAAACUUUAAUAUUAUUAAUUAUCAUGCUCUUUUAGACACACAUAUAUAUUCACACAAACAAGGUGAACUUGUUCAUUAGUAUAUCAAGAAGAUACAAAGAAAUGGCUCAAAAUCGAAAUUUUUUCAUUGCAGCCUUCAUCGCUCUUCUUGUGUUUGCUGGAGGAAUACACAACGGUGAAUGUAGAAAUAUCGUACGUAUCCGUUGUAUCGGUGCAUGUCCAGGGAAUUAUUUUUGUGAUAUCGAUUGUAAACACAAAGGCUAUACGAGAGGGGAAUGCAGUCCACCGCCGAAGUAUCAUGAUUGUUGUUGUGUACUUAAUUAAUGAUUAGCUUUAAUAUUUGAGCUAUUCUUCUAUAUGAAAUAAAAUGUUGUUCAAUAAUAAUUAAGCUUCAUUGCAACUAUAUAAAAACAUGAUAUAUUAUCAAGAAUUUGAAUUUAUCCGUCAUAUAUCACUUUUCCUUA